AAAAUCCGUUAACUUUAGAAA
rnacentral:tRNA from 1 species